rnacentral:rRNA from 1 species
CCUACGGGAGGCAGCAGUGAGGAAUAUUGGACAAUGGAUGGAAAUCUGAUCCAGCCAUGCCGCGUGAAGGACGACGGUCCUAUGGAUUGUAAACUUCUUUUGUAUGGGAGCAAUAAGGUUCUANCGUGUAGAUUCGAUGAGAGUCCCUACGA